GGACCGUGUAUAAGUCCCCUGGGAUGGGGCGUCAUAGAGGGUGAGAAUCCCGUCUUUGACACGGACUACCAGUGCAUUGUGGUAUGCUCUCAAAGAGUCGAGUUGUUUGGGAAUGCAGCUCAAAAUGGGUGGUAAAUUCCAUCUAAAGCUAAAUAUUGGCGAGAGACCGAUAGCGAACAAGUACCGUGAGGAAAGAUGAAAAGAACUUUGGAAAGAGAGUUAAACAGUACGUGAAAUUGCUGAAAGGGAAACGCUUGAAGUCAGUCGCGUUGGCCGGGAAUCAGCCUUGCUUUUGCAUGGUGUACUUUCUGGUUGACGGGUCAGCAUCAAUUUUGACCGCUGGAAAAAGACCUGGGGAAUGUGGCAGCUUCGGCUGUGUUAUAGCCCCUACUUGCAUACAGUGGUUGGGAUUGAGGAACUCAGCACGCCGCAAGGCCGGGUUUCGACCACGUUCGUGCUUAGGAUGCUGGCAUAAUGGCUUUAAGCGACCCGUCUUCGAACACGGACCAAGGAGUCUAACAUGCCUGCGAGUAUUUGGGUGGAAAACCCAAGUGCGUAAUGAAAGUGAAAGUUGAGAUCCCUGUCGUGGGGAGCAUCGACGCCCGGACCAGAACUUUUGGGACGGAUCCGCGGUGGAGCAUGUAUGUUGGGACCCGAAAGAUGGUGAACUAUGCCUGAAUAGGGUGAAGCCAGAGGAAACUCUGGUGGAGGCUCGUAGCGAUUCUGACGUGCAAAUCGAUCGU
rnacentral:rRNA from 1 species